CUGUAUAAGGUACAUAUGGUUGAGUGUCGU
rnacentral:rRNA from 1 species